GCACAUUCAUCCACGUCCAGACUCGAAGGGGUGGCUGCCAGCAGUGGGGGGAGCCCUCAAGGCCGAGAGGGGGUGCCCCCAAAUCCCCUUUUUCCACCCUUUUCGCCCCAUCUCACGAGCCCAGCCGAGCCUGGCAGAAGCAGAGGGAUCCUGUACACAACUUUUUCAAACUGCCAGGCAGAAGAAUCCCAGUCUUUCCAAGGGAGUGUCGGUAAAUCAUCAUUACAUCCGACAACGCAACCAGAGGAAUUAACCCUUUGCUGUCCCCCCCAGGAAGAUGAUAAUAAUAACCACAACAACAGAUUUAACACCGAAAAUAGUAAAAGCUGGUCCCGGCUGUGGGAGAAAAGGCGAUGGGCAGGGUGUGUGCUGUGAUUUUUUUUGUAUCUUGAUAAAAAGGAAGGAUUUGCGUGCCGUGUGUGUACGGAACACAUGAAGAACAUGCCAGCAGGCACCCGCCUGCCUCUCUAGCUGUGCCUCAGCUCUUCCCAUGGCUUUCUCACUUUCCAGAGGAGCGCGGCGGCGAUCCCCAGUGCAGAUGUGCCUCCCACCCCCCCGAGGAUCUCUCCUCUGGACUUAGAGAGAAGAGGAAAAGGCAGAUUUUGAGAAAUGAAAAUUAUUUAAGGAUGUCUCUGCUGCCUCUCUCUGCUGCCCUCCUCUGUAAUACUGAUGCACUUACAAAAAAAUAAUCAAAGUAAAUAAAUAAUUAAAAAAAAAUAAAUAAAUUUCUCUUGGCCAGAAGCGUUUGGCUGAGAAGCAACCAAAGACCCCUUCCCGGCUCUGAGAAGGGAAUGCACAGGCCCCUGCUCUGGGGAAGGCUGCUCAUGGAUACUGCUGCUCAUCCUGGGAUCUGAGCCCUCUGCCCAAAUGGGUUUCUCCCACCUCCCCUGGGGCUGGCAAAGGACCCAUGUCCUAAGGCUAAAAGAAACGCCUCAAACUUGGAUACAGGCACUAAACUUGCACGGUGCCCACGAAAAAAAUACAGCUGCAAGUUCGGAUCAACGUCAGCCCACAGAGUACCUGAACCUGAAGCUAGAGGGGAAUGAUGCUCAAAGCAGAAAAUUCAAGAACUCACUGAAAUG